UGUCUCUGUAGUUUUAUCUUUUCACCCUUAAACGUACACACACCCACACAUGUACACACCCUCACACCUCACACAUGUACACACAACCCUCACACCACAUGUACACACAACCCUCACACGUACAUACCCUUACAUGUACACAAACCCCCACACGUACACACCAUGCAUGUACCCACACAUGUACACAUACACCCACAUGUACACACAUCCUCAUACCUUCACACAUGUACAUACACCUUCACACAUGUACACACACCCUCACACGUGCAUACCUGCACCCUCAAACGUACACACCCCACACAGGUGCACACAGCUUCACACAUGUACACACACCCUCACACAUGUACACACGUGUGCACACACCCUCACACGUACACACACGUGCCCUCACACACGUACAGAUGCCUUCACACACGUACACCCCCACACAUGUAUACCCUUAAACGUACACCCUCACACAUGUACACACUCACAUGUACACACCUCACACAUGUACACACAACCCUCACACAUGUACACAUCCUCACACAUGUACACACACACCCUCACAUGUACACAAACCCCCACACACGUACACACACCAUAACACAUGUAAACACACGUACAUACACCCACACAUAUAUACACCCUCACAUGUACACACACGCACCUUCACACAUGUACACACGCACCCAUAAACGUACACACCCAUGCACACACCCACAUACAUGUGCACACCCUCACACAUGUACACAACCCUCACAUAUGUACACACACGUACACAUACACCAUGUACAUACACUCACACAUGUAUACACACCCUUACACGCGUACAUAUGCACACCCUCACACGUGCGCACACCCCCAAACAUGUAUACAUCCUCACAUGUACAUGCACACACACGCACACAUGCAUGCCCUCACGUGUACACGUGCGCACACACACCCUUGAACACAUAUACAUCUUCACACAUGUACACCACCCUCACACAUGUGCACACAUGCACUCCCACAUGCACCCCCCACCCCCCACAUGUACACAUACAGGUACACACCCCUCACACAUGUAUGCACACACCCACAUGUACAUUCACACACAUGUACACACACCUUCACAUGUACACACAGACCCUCACACAUAUACAUAUGCAUACCCUCACACAUAUGCACAACUCCUCAAACACGUACACACACCCUCAUAUGUACAUGCACACACAUACGCAUGCCCUCGCAUGUACACACACC
rnacentral:lncRNA from 1 species